GGUGUCAAAUUGUCCGGCACGAUCACUACAUUAACACAUGCAGAAAACUAAAAACAACAAAAACAAUAUCCGAUAUUAUGUGAGAACAAAUGAAGCCAAAUACGAUUUUUGUAAUCGACACAAAAAAAAGUUAAGAGAUUUGACAUGAUUUGUUUGGAAACGGAAACAAAGAGGUCUCACCAUAUAACUUUGACAAGCAUUGAUUUCGGACUGCGAAGGACAGAGAUUUGUGGUGUUUCCACGUGAAGAUGUUGCUGAUGAAAUAAGGCACAGAUGGAUACAGCAUCACCAUCCCCAAACAAGCCCUAGUCGCCAUAAUUAUGCGACAACUACACACAGAUCAUAAUUACUCGAUUGGGUUUCAAAUUCUCCAAGACGCAGCAGAUGUUCGAUGAAAAUCCCAAGAGAAGAGAAACACUGUGCUUAAUCAUGAUUUUGGGGGAAAUUUUGUUUUGCAAGGGGCCUAGAAUGAUCCAAAGAUGGAGCCCAGGAGAGGCAAGUUGAAGAAUGCCGAAACAGGCAAGAGGAAUGUAAAGGGGCCUCAGUUGUCUGAAAUCCAAACAGAGAAUAAGCCAAGUGAUGUAAAAAAUUGGUAGGGAACCAUGGCAGAAUAGCAACAAGCCAAUAGGAGGAGAGCGACAGCAGCAAAAAAAGGGGGUGAGAAAAUGAGCGUGUAUGUGACUACAUAUCCAAUUUAAGCCUGUACAAGAAGCCAAAAACACAGUUGGAUUGAGUGUGUAAUUCACAUGAAAGGCUGCUCUUGGUUGAUGGCAAGACAGAAAUUAAAGGUGUUUGAUAAAUAAAAAUGGUUGUAAACCAAAAGAGGGCCUCAUGGAGCUAUAUGCUAUCAUUGGGUUUAUACAUUCUUUGCCAUUUGUGUGAGUGGGCCUUAUCUGUAUCCUCAUUUCAAAAGCAGCUUUAUAUUUAUGAAGCAGACAGGGGAGUAAGUAAAGAAUAGGGAGAUUUCCGGGCAUGAGGUGUUAUGAGUGUGCAAACAAAGUAUCUUCCAAUUUAAAAGAGGUCUAAACCUCUGGCCCUGUCUGUGUGAGAGAGAGAGAAGAGCUAUGUUUUUAUAAGUGAGGUUAGUUCACCUGUAAAGUGGCUCCUGGUAAUAAAGGCCAGAGAAUUUAUUGUGCAGAGACAGCUAAGCAGUACCUUUCCCCUCUCCAAUGAUGAAGCCGGUUUUGUUGCAUGAAGGAGUCAAUAGAUAAAGGGGGCCAUAGCCAGUCAAGAAGAUUGCGGAUUGCCCAAUACCAAAUUCAAGAUAUUCAAUUCUCUCCAUAAAUAUAUUGCCUUGUUGCUGCUAAGCUGAAAUGGAUCCUCCUAAAAUAGGCAGCGAGGAAUGCAGCAGCAGCGAAUCCGGCUGGACGACAUACAUAGCCUCACCCGACCUCGAGCACGACUAUGCUGAUCACAACGAAGACGAAGAUGAUGAGGACGACGCCACCAUAGCCAAGAAAGGGUUAAAAAAAGUCGAGCAAGAAGAAGCAGCAGCGGAUAGCGAUGACUCCAUGGCUUCCGAUGCAUCCUCUGGUCCUAGCGAUCAAUAUGGAUAUCUCGGGAGAAGCCACCAUGCAGGGACCAAUAAUCAAAGAAACUCGGCUGCCAAGAAACACCAAGGGAAGAAGAAACAGAUAAAACAAGAAAAGGACAAAUCGCCCAACACUGCAGGAAGAUUGAAGAAAUUUUAGCCCCACUUGUGUCAAGGUAUAUCCCAGGAAAUAUGCAUACAGUUUUGUACUUGUUGAUUCCAUGUUUAAUGCAAUAUCAUGUAUAAAAAAAUGGGUACUUUUUACUGGGAUUUUUUUUCGGUUUAUGAUAUGGUCUCACUUGUAAAGUUACGGAGAAUGCAAACACUUUAUCAUGAUUUUGAGGCUUUUCUGCUGAAA